rnacentral:lncRNA from 1 species
UUAUAUGUAUUUUAUCAAACAUUUAUUUCAUAUUUUUUAUUGUAGUCGUAUCCUGUAUUCAUGUUACAACCUGCGAAUAUGAUAACGAUUCGACUAUAGUAGACAUAUAUGACACGACCGAGGAAACAACCGAUGAUUUCUAUACAACUGAGAGCGGAGAUGAAAUUAUAGAACGUAUGAAACAAUUCGAAUCAAUUCUAAAUUUGUUGAGAUAUCCAGCGAUUGUUCUUCAGGAUGCCUUUCAGACCAUGUUCUUCAAAACAGGUGACUUGAAACCAACAGUAAUCUUAGAUUCUCUAGUGUCAAGAAUUUUACCUUUAUUAGAAAAUGAAGACAAAGAAGUAUUAUUCACUCUCUUUACUUUCAUAAAAGACUAUUUAACAAGAGAACUUUCCUUCGACGAUCUCCUGAUAUAUUAUAAUGAAAUCGAACCCGCAUUGAAACACAAAUUUGAUAUACUUAUCAUAGCAUUACAGGAUUUGAAUGCAGAGCUAUUGAAGUACAACGCCAUGGAUAUAACCCCUGAAAUUAGAGCAAUUCUUCAAAUACAGCAAAAGAUCUAUAGUAGAAUGUUCUACAUAGAUUUUUCUCAGAAUAAAAAAUAAAUAUAAUUCGCACCAUACUGAUUUGAAAAUUUUCAGACUUAAUUUAACAAUCAUUUUAAAUAUUCAAGAUUAAUUAUAACGAUGUUCAACCUCACCGAUGCUAUCGGAAGUAUAGAAAAUUAUGAUUGUCUUUUACAUUGUAUUAUACUUUUAAUCAAAUAAAUUUAUUGCAUUGAAUUA